GGGAUCGUGGCACAGUCGGUUAGCGCGCAGAUUUCAUGCCCCUGGGAGUAGUCUGAGGUCGUGAGUUCGAGCCUCACCGAUCCCA
rfam:Gaeumannomyces graminis var. tritici R3-111a-1 unplaced genomic scaffold supercont2.3, whole genome shotgun sequence.